rnacentral:RNase_P_RNA from 1 species
GUAGGGUGCUACUUAACUCAGACAGUUUUACUGUUUAGGAAAGUCCGCCCACAGCAAAUGCCACUCUUGCAAAAGAGUUCUGGAAACAGAAGGCAACCACUCAGAAACGAAACGACCUUUAAACAGGAUGAUGCUGUGAAAACAUUGGUGACAAUGUUGAGAUCCACAGAAAUCUUCGAUUUCUGGGACGCCAGAAAUUUUCAAUUUCUGAGCGUAACCAGCAGACGUUUUUGAAGGAAUCGGUGAAACGGUGAGCCCUGGCUUGUGCAAGUGCAACACGCUUAGUUAAAUGUUAAGGAGGAUCAUUCACUUCAACGUGAGAUCCUACAGAAGGCGGCUUAUGGUGCCCUAC